rnacentral:rRNA from 1 species
AUGAAUAUAAGAUGUCUGAAACUAGCAUCAUUGACUUCCCUGGAGUCAUGUACUAUCAGCACUAUGCCCAUUGGUUUUGUUGUUUGGUCUACAGCUCUUGCGAUUUUGUGCAGCUAUAUAUUUUGUGUGCUACUACUACAUCAGUUAACCUGGGUUGACAUUAGUACACCUCUAUUUUUCUGCUAUAUGGUUCUGGGUCACAUAAUGCAUAUCAUGAACAUUCAAGAUCAAAUUAUUUUGUGCCAUCUUCAUCUUUUUGUUGUUGUUUCUAUACUGAUCAUGCAUGAUUUUUUUCUAUAG